rnacentral:rRNA from 1 species
AACGAACGCUGGCGGCGUGCUUAACACAUGCAAGUCGAACGGCAAGGCCCUGCUUUUGUGGGGUGCUCGAGUGGCGAACGGGUGAGUAACACGUGAGUAACCUGCCCUUGACUUUGGGAUAACUUCAGGAAACUGGGGCUAAUACUGUAUAGGAUAUCCUGCUGCAUGGUGGGGGUUGGAAAUUUUCGGCGGUUGGGGAUGGACUCGCGGCUUAUCAGCUUGUUGGUGGGGUAGUGGCUUACCAAGGCUUUGACGGGUAGCCGGCCUGAGAGGGUGACCGGCCACAUUGGGACUGAGAUACGGCCCAGACUCCUACGGGAGGCAGCAGUGGGGAAUAUUGCACAAUGGGCGGAAGCCUGAUGCAGCAACGCCGCGUGCGGGAUGACGGCCUUCGGGUUGUAAACCGCUUUCGCCUGUGACGAAGCGUGAGUGACGGUAAUGGGUAAAGAAGCACCGGCUAACUACGUG